rnacentral:lncRNA from 10 species
UGUGCAAUGAAGUGGCCUCUUUAUCAAAGAAGUUUACGAAUUCUUUAACCACUGUUGGGGCCUUCAGCAAUAGAGCUUCACUGUAUACAAGCAGAAUGACAAGGGAGGUGGAAGCUCAUUGAUAUGAUAGGCUGGACAAAAUGCAUUUGCACCCUCGUGUGGUCCAAGUUACCUGAUAUCCAUGGACUUUGAUAUAAACACUAGGCUUGCAGAGAGGUGCGAGGUCUUAAUCAAGAUGGAAUAGCCUUAGUGACACCGGUUCCUAAGGCUCUAUUGCACCCUCUUGUUACCCUUUU